GAUGAAGAACGUAGCGAAAUGCGAUAAGUAAUGUGAAUUGCAGAAUUCAGUGAAUCAUCGAAUCUUUGAACGCACAUUGCGCCCGCCAGUAUUCUAGCGGGCAUGCCUGUUCGAGCGUCAUUACAACCCUCAGGCCCCCGGGCCUGGCGUUGGGGAUCGGCGGAAGCCCCCUGCGGGCACAACGCCGUCCCCCAAAUACAGUGGCGGUCCCGCCGCAGCUUCCAUUGCGUAGUAGCUAACACCUCGCAACUGGAGAGCGGCGCGGCCACGCCGUAAAACACCCAACUUCUGAAUGUUGACCUCGAAUCAGGUAGGAAUACCCGCUGAACUUAAGCAUAUCAAUAAGCGGAGGA
rnacentral:misc_RNA from 1 species